rnacentral:rRNA from 1 species
CUACGGGUCGCUGCAGUGGGGAAUAUUGGGCAAUGGGCGAAAGCCUGACCCAGCAACGCCGCGUGAUUGAAGAAGGUCUUCGGAUUGUAAAGAUCUGUCCUUGGGGACGAAAAAAAUGACGGUACCCAAGGAGGAAGCCCCGGCUAACUACGUGCCAGCAGCCGCGGUAAUACGUAGGGGGCGAGCGUUGUCCGGAAUUACUGGGCGUAAAGGGUGCGCAGGCGGCGCUUUAAGUCAGAUGUGAAAUAUUCGGGCUCAACCCGAAGGGUGCAUUUGAAACUGGAGUGCUUGAGUGCAGGAGAGGAAAGUGGAAUUCCUAGUGUAGCGGUGAAAUGCGUAGAUAUUAGGAGGAACACCAGUGGCGAAGGCGACUUUCUGGACUGUAACUGACGCUGAGGCACGAAAGCGUGGGGAGCAAACAGGAUUAGAUACCCUGGUAGUC